rnacentral:rRNA from 1 species
UACGUAGGUGGCGAGCGUUAUCCGGAAUUAUUGGGCGUAAAGAGCGCGCAGGUGGUUGAUUAAGUCUGAUGUGAAAGCCCACGGCUUAACCGUGGAGGGUCAUUGGAAACUGGUCGACUUGAGUGCAGAAGAGGGAAGUGGAAUUCCAUGUGUAGCGGUGAAAUGCGUAGAGAUAUGGAGGAACACCAGUGGCGAAGGCGACUCUCUGGUCUGUAACUGACGCUGAGGCUCGAAAGCGUGGGGAGCAAACAGGAUUAGA